CCGACCUUCCAUCUGAAGUCGGACAAGCUGACAAUCAAUUUCUUUGAACUUACGUUCAUAGUCGUCAAGCCGCCGUUAUUGAAAAACUCUAGGGGUAGAACCUCUUGAAGAGCUUGAAGGAGAAGCAGAAGGUGUCCGCGGUCAUUUUUCCUUCCUGAUACUGUGUAGAUGGGAACGAGAGGGAGAAUGCCGUGAAUGAUGGGUGGCACAAUGGGAGUGCCUAGAAUGCGGUUGCCCGUCUCAGUGGGAGUGUCGAGACUGUCGCCGCUUCGAAGAGGAGGAGGGUGAGUGCCGUGGAGGAUGGCGGCUGUGCUUGGAUGAGACUGACUGAGUCAUCGAUUGCUCCACCGAUGGCUGCUGCUGCUGGAUUUGUUACUGCUGAAGGCUUUGAACCGCCUCUGUCAAAACCUUCAUUUGCUGUAUUAGUGCAGCAAUCUAUUUGUCUGUGGUGAUCAUAGGAUGCGAAGAACUGGGCUCUGCCACUGGAGGUGGGGAAGGAACAUCUUUCCGACAGGAAGACUGCCUCACUGAUCCAGUUGAGUGUUGAGCUCUAAUUUUUGAUAUGGUUGAUUGUAGUCUUCCCCU
rnacentral:lncRNA from 1 species